GAGCUUUGGCACUGGUCCAAGAAACAGGAUAAGCUAAAGCUCAAAACUUUUUUGGAGACCGGAAUGACCUGUGGACUACCUAGAGAUGAGAUGGGCAGGUGAGCUUCGUGGGGAAGGUGAUCUCAGCUACCAAGGUCUGAAACCAUCGGGAAGUUGGACUAUGAAAAUUUCAUAGUUUUCUAAUUCAAGUAAAAUAUUUAUUUGUUCAUUUCCUUUUUAACAUCCCUUUUAUUUGGUGUAGUUCCUCUUGAAAAUUUCAGCCCAGUUUGGGGGAACAGCUCUGGGUGAGGUAGGAAUUAUAUUAUGGCCACCAUUCAUUUCAUUGAGUCUCUUUGGGCCAGGCACUUUUGUGUAUUUCAAUUUUCUCUAAUUUUCAGAAGCACACGAUAAGGUAAGUGUGAAUAGUUUGUUUUUUGGGUGAGGGUCUGAAAUUUCAGAGAGGUUAAGCAAUUUGCCUAGGACCACACAGCAAAGAAGAUGAAACUCACGCGCACAGGCUAUGCCCUUCUUACUGGAGUUUCUCUCGGUGCCUCCUCCCACUCGCACGUUGGAGGCCUUUAUCUUUUAGUGACCAGAAAAGACCUCCUAGGACCCAUCAAUCCAUUGCCUUCUGAGACACCUGGCAGAGAAAGUGAUUUCUGAAGCAGGAGAAAACCCAGGAAGAUUGCUCAGUUCCUGUGAGUACUGCUUCCCAGCUGGGGAUGACAGUUAAUCUUGAAAAUCAAUUCAGUGCCUGCUCUCGCGUCAGACACUCCCCAGGGCAGGCCACAGCUCCUCUCACUGCUGUUAAACAGCACAAAAAGUGGUUGCCAGCAUGA
rnacentral:lncRNA from 1 species